AGAGUUUGAUCCUGGCUCAGGACGAACGCUGGCGGUGUGCUUAACACAUGCAAGUCGAACGGUAAGGCCCUUUCGGGGGUACACGAGUGGCGAACGGGUGAGUAACACGUGAGUAACCUGCCCUCAUCUCUGGGAUAACAGUCGGAAACGGUUGCUAAUACUGGAUAUGAGCCUGCAAGGCAUCUUGUGGGUUGGAAAGAUUUUUUGGUUGGGGAUGGACUCGCGGCCUAUCAGCUUGUUGGUGAGGUAGUGGCUCACCAAGGCUUCGACGGGUAGCCGGCCUGAGAGGGCGACCGGCCACAUUGGGACUGAGAUACGGCCCAGACUCCUACGGGAGGCAGCAGUGGGGAAUAUUGCACAAUGGACGGAAGUCUGAUGCAGCAACGCCGCGUGCGGGAUGACGGCCUUCGGGUUGUAAACCGCUUUCAAUUGUGACGAAGCUUUUUGUGACGGUAGCAGUAGAAGAAGCACCGGCUAACUACGUGCCAGCAGCCGCGGUGAUACGUAGGGUGCGAGCGUUGUCCGGAUUUAUUGGGCGUAAAGAGCUUGUAGGUGGUUUGUCGCGUCGGGAGUGAAAACUCAGGGCUUAACUCUGAGCUUGCUUUCGAUACGGGCUGACUUGAGGGAGGUAGGGGAGAAUGGAAUUCCUGGUGGAGCGGUGGAAUGCGCAGAUAUCAGGAGGAACACCGGUGGCGAAGGCGGUUCUCUGGACCUUUCCUGACGCUGAGAAGCGAAAGCGUGGGGAGCGAACAGGCUUAGAUACCCUGGUAGUCCACGCUGUAAACGGUGGGUACUAGGUGUGGGGGACAUUCCACGUUCUCCGUGCCGUAGCUAACGCAUUAAGUACCCCGCCUGGGGAGUACGGCCGCAAGGCUAAAACUCAAAGGAAUUGACGGGGCCCCGCACAAGCGGCGGAGCAUGCGGAUUAAUUCGAUGCAACGCGAAGAACCUUA
rnacentral:rRNA from 1 species